GUGUCAGCAGCCGCGGUAAUACGUAGGUGGCAAGCGUUAUCCGGAAUUACUGGGCGUAAAGCGCACGCAGGUGGUUAUCUAAGAUUGACGUGAAAACUCUUGGCUUAACUGAGAGACGUCGUUGAUGACUGGAUGACUUGAGACGAGGAGAGGGGUGCAGAAUUCCCGGUGUAGUGGUGGAAUGCGUAGAGAUCGGGAGGAAUACCAGUGGCGAAAGCGGCACCCUGGCCUUAGUCUGACGCUCAGGUGCGAAAGCGUGGGGAGCGAACGGGAUUAGAUACCCCGGUAGUCCACGCCAUAAACGAUGAACACUAGGUGUAGGGGGUGUCAAAACCCUCGGUACCGCAGCCAACGCGAUAAGUGUUCCGCCUGGGGAGUACGACCGCAAGGUUAAA
rnacentral:rRNA from 1 species